ACACUGAGGCGUGACGACGAGGCACUACGGUGCUGAAGCAACAAAUGCCCUGCUUCCAGGAAAAGCCUCUAAGCAUCAGGUAACAUCAAAUCGUACCCCAAACCGACACAGGUGGUCAGGUAGAGAAUACCAAGGCGCUUGAGAGAACUCGGGUGAAGGAACUAGGCAAAAUGGUGCCGUAACUUCGGGAGAAGGCACGCUGACACGUAGGUGAAGUGAUUUACUCAUGGAGCUGAAGUCAGUCGAAGAUACCAGCUGGCUGCAACUGUUUAUUAAAAACACAGCACUGUGCAAACACGAAAGUGGACGUAUACGGUGUGACGCCUGCCCGGUGCCGGAAGGUUAAUUGAUGGGGUCAGCGCAAGCGAAGCUCCUGAUCGAAGCCCCGGUAAACGGCGGCCGUAACUAUAACGGUCCUAAGGUAGCGAAAUUCCUUGUCGGGUAAGUUCCGACCUGCACGAAUGGCGUAAUGAUGGCCAGGCUGUCUCCACCCGAGACUCAGUGAAAUUGAACUCGCUGUGAAGAUGCAGUGUACCCGCGGCAAGACGGAAAGACCCCGUGAACCUUUACUAUAGCUUGACACUGAACAUUGAGCCUUGAUGUGUAGGAUAGGUGGGAGGCUUUGAAGCGUGGACGCCAGUCUGCGUGGAGCCGACCUUGAAAUACCACCCUUUAAUGUUUGAUGUUCUAACGUGGACCCGUUACCCGGGUUGCGGACAGUGUCUGGUGGGUAGUUUGACUGGGGCGGUCUCCUCCUAAAGAGUAACGGAGGAGCACGAAGGUUGGCUAAUCCUGGUCGGACAUCAGGAGGUUAGUGCAAUGGCAUAAGCCAGCUUGACUGCGAGCGUGACGGCGCGAGCAGGUGCGAAAGCAGGUCAUAGUGAUCCGGUGGUUCUGAAUGGAAGGGCCAUCGCUCAACGGAUAAAAGGUACUCCGGGGAUAACAGGCUGAUACCGCCCAAGAGUUCAUAUCGACGGCGGUGUUUGGCACCUCGAUGUCGGCUCAUCACAUCCUGGGGCUGAAGUAGGUCCCAAGGGUAUGGCUGUUCGCCAUUUAAAGUGGUACGCGAGCUGGGUUUAGAACGUCGUGAGACAGUUCGGUCCCUAUCUGCCGUGGGCGCUGGAGAACUGAGGGGGGCUGCUCCUAGUACGAGAGGACCGGAGUGGACGCAUCACUGGUGUUCGGGUUGUCAUGCCAAUGGCACUGCCCGGUAGCUAAAUGCGGAAGAGAUAAGUGCUGAAAGCAUCUAAGCACGAAACUUGCCCCGA
rnacentral:rRNA from 1 species